rnacentral:misc_RNA from 1 species
GCAUCCAAAAUGUCAAGUGCUGUGUCUUCUGCAGAUUCCAGUAGCAUCACAAAUCCAUUCACUAUGUCUUCAGUAGAAAAAAUCUCAAUAUGAAGUGCAGAAAGCAAAACAGACGCCAUUUCCUUUUCCUUGUUUUUCCUGUCCAUAGCAAGGGUGAUUAGCUUCUUCAGGAAAAUGGGAUUAUACUCUGGGGCCACCAAGUCUUCCAAACUCCGGAUUAGCUCCGGAAUGUCAUCAGACAGGAAAUAUUCAUGGAUUAUAUUAACAAUCUGUUUUUUGUACUGCUUCACUUUUUCAUCAUCUGGACCAUUUGCUGGCCCAUCUUCACCCGAGGCUUUCAGGGAAGUUGCAUCAAGCCAUCCCUCAGAGAUUGCCCGAGGAACAAUUGACUGGAAUGACAUCUUUGCAGAAGGAAUAUCCAGAGAAAGAUCAUCG